rnacentral:rRNA from 1 species
CCUACGGGAGGCAGCAGUGGGGAAUAUUGCACAAUGGGGGGAACCCUGAUGCAGCGACGCCGCGUGAGUGAUGAAGUAUUUCGGAUUGUAAAGCCCUAUCAGUAGGGAAGAUAAUGACGGUAUCUGACUAAGAAGCCCCGGCUAACUACGUGCCAGCAGCCGCGGUAAUACGUAGGGGGCAAGCGUUACCCGGAUUUACUGGGUGUAAAGGGCGCGUAGACGGGUAUGCAAGUCAGAUGUGAAAGCCUAAGGCUUAACCAUAGGACUGCUUUUGAAACUGUAAAACUGGAGUGCAGGAGAGGUAAGUGGAAUUCUUGGUGUAGCGGUAAAAUGCGUAGAUAUUAGGAGGAAUACCAGUGGCGAAGGCGGCUUACUGGACUGUAACUGACGUUGAGGCGCGAAGGCGUGGGGAGCAAACAGGAUUAGAUACCCGGGUAGUC